rnacentral:rRNA from 1 species
GAGCUCCUACGGGGGGCAGCAGUGGGGAAUAUUGGGCAAUGGGCGCAAGCCUGACCCAGCAACGCCGCGUGAAGGAAGAAGGCUUUCGGGUUGUAAACUUCUUUUAAGAGGGAAGAGAAGAAGACGGUACCUCUUGAAUAAGCCACGGCUAACUACGUGCCAGCAGCCGCGGUAAUACGUAGGUGGCAAGCGUUAUCCGGAUUUACUGGGUGUAAAGGGAGCGUAGACGGAAAGGCAAGUCAGAAGUGAAAACCCAAGGCUCAACCAUGGGACUGCUUUUGAAACUGUCAAACUAGAGUACGGGG